rnacentral:rRNA from 1 species
AAUGAACGCUGGCGGCGUGCCUAACACAUGCAAGUCGGACGCGAACGGGGCUUCGGCCCUCAGUAGAGUGGCGCACGGGUGAGUAACGCGUAGGUAAUCUCCCUCUGGAUUGGGGAUAACUCUGCGAAAGCGGAGCUAAUACCGAAUGGUCUGGCUUUAUUUCGAUGAAGUCGGUAAAGGAUGCCUCUGCAUAUGCAUCUGUCCAGAGAUGAGCCUGCGUCCCAUUAGCUAGUUGGUAGGGUAAAGGCCUACCAAGGCGACGAUGGGUAGCUGGUCUGAGAGGAUGAUCAGCCACACUGGAACUGGAACACGGUCCAGACUCCUACGGGAGGCAGCAGUGGGGAAUAUUGGGCAAUGGGCGCAAGCCUGACCCAGCAACGCCGUGUGAGGGAUGAAGGCCUUCGGGUCGUAAACCUCUGUCAGAAGGGAAGAACGGGCACAGUUCGAAUAGGGCUGUGUUGUGACGGUACCUUCAGAGGAAGCACCGGCUAACUCCGUG